ACACUUGCAUUAUUGUGGAGUACAAAGGUCAUAAAAUACUCAAUACAGUGGACUGCACCAGACCCAAUGGGGGAAGACUGCCUAUGAAGGUUGCUCUAAUGAUGAGUGAUUUUGCUGGAGGAGCAUCAGGCUUUCCAAUGACUUUCAGUGGUGGAAAAUUUACGGCAGAGGAGACUCUAAUCUAAAUCUUGUCAUUUCAGAGGAAUGGAAAGCCCAAUUCAUUAAAACAGAAAGGAAGAAACUCCUGAACUACAAGGCUCAGCUGGUGAAGAACCUGCAACCCCGAAUUUAUUGUCCCUUUGCUGGGUAUUUUGUGGAAUCUCACCCAUCAGACAAGUAUGGCUAGACACUUUGUACAUUUUUACAUACAACUUAACGUGUGGUGGAAUGAGCGACUUUGCUGUGAAAGCAGUGUGACAUGAGAAGGAAAGUGAUUAGUAGGUGUCUGGAACUUUUUAACAAGCUGCUGGAGAACACAGAGCAUGAAUAAAAGUUAUACUUGGCAGCCAGGAACUCUUUCAGGAGAUAAAAUAACAGAUAGAUAUUCUCCGAAAGGAUCCCAGGAAAGAGGAUGGCAACUGCCAUUUAUUAUGUGCCAGGAAGUGAACUGGGGACUUUUAACUAAGCCAUCUAAGUUAAUCUCCCAAUAGCACUAUGCAUAGGAAGGGGGUAUUGUUCCUUUUUUGCAGAUAGGGAAUCUGAAACUCAGAAAGAUCAAGGGACGUGCCCAAAGUCACUCUGUUGGAAACAUGAGUUGAGAAUGGAACCCUGGUAUGCUUAGUUCCAAAGCUCUUUUCUCUAUACCAUACUGCAUUCCAGAAUAGAAUUAUGUCAUUAUCAGAUUGAAGCUGUCUUCUCAUGUUUUGGGUAUCUAAUGUGGUUUUUUCUUGCAGCAAUAUAACUUC
rnacentral:sRNA from 1 species